UGGUCAAGUUAUUAAGGGUGCAGGGCGGAUGCCUUGGCACUAGGAGCCGAUGAAGGACGUGAUAAGCUGCGAUAAGCUUCGGGGAGUUGCACGUAAACUUUGAUCCGAAGAUUUCCGAAUGAGGAAACUCACUUAGAGUAAUGUCUAAGUAUCAUUAAGUGAAUACAUAGCUUAAUGAGGGGAACUCAGGGAACUGAAACAUCUAAGUACCUGAAGGAAGAGAAAGAAAUUCGAUUCCGUAAGUAGCGGCGAGCGAACGCGGAUUAGCCCAAACCAAUAAAGUGUUCUUUAUUGGGGUUGCGGACAUAUCAUAACGAAGAGGUAUCGUAAUUGAAGAGGUUUGGAAAGACCCACCACAGAAGGUAAUAGUCCUGUAUGUUAAACGAGAAGACUU
rnacentral:rRNA from 1 species